UUGCGAUGACGACUGCCUCUUCUCAACGUUGGGGGGACAUCAUAGAUUCUGAUCUUUCUAAAGAUGAUACUCUUGACAAUUGAUUUUUUGGUUUUGUUUUUCGUUGCCCGUUGUUUGCGCUGAUGUGCUUUCAAAGGGUUUUCUUCAUUUUUUCUUUUCUUUCUUGUUUUUGCUUUUCAUUUUUCUUUCUCAAUAAAAUUUUCAUUUCAGCAUUUAUCUCUAUUUUUAUAAACUUUAUAAAGUUUUGACAAAAUUUUUUGAUAAUUUGAUGAGAAAUUGAUUUAGCUUUUAUAUGUAUAUAUAGAUAUAGAUUAGUCAAUCUUAGAAAAUGAUAUGUUAAAAAUCAACACCUAAACUAAAAUAAUAAACGAGACACUGAUUUUACGUGGUUCGAUCAUAAGAUCUACGUCCAUAUGUGGUUCUUAGGAGAUUUUCACUAUGACUCAAGAGAGUGUACAUUUUACAAGUUGAUGAAUGAAUGAUCCCCUAAAUUUAC
rnacentral:lncRNA from 1 species